UAAGUUCUCCCUUAACCUCUUUCUCUCCAGACAAACCCAACCCAAAUGUGAUAGUUAAGGGCUAUUUAAAGGGGGUACAGCCCCUUUAAAAAAGGAUACAACCUCCACCAGCGGAUAACCCCCAUGCACCUAGCCUCGUGGGCCUUAAAGCAGCCACCCCCAAAGAUUGCGUCAAAGCUCCAUCAACUAAAAACCCCAAAAACUAAUGCGACUCCCUACAUCCAUAGCAGGCCAACCUAUAGCAAUAGAUGAGUCAAUGCUAGAACGAGUAACCAGGACACCAUGUCCCCCUAAGCGUCAGCCUACAGACCAUUAACAGCAAAACCUCAAUAAACCACACCCUCCCGCCACUAUUAAAUACAUCCUGUCAAUCCAACCCAGGGACGCACACUGGAGUGAUCAAAGUCUACAAAAGGAACUCGGCAAACCUAAGACCCGACUGUUUACCAAAAACAUAGCCUUCAGCAAAACAAGUAUUGGAGGUGAUGCCUGCCCAGUGACACUACGUUCAACGGCCGCGGUAUCCUAACCGUGCAAAGGUAGCGCAAUCAAUUGUCCCAUAAAUCGAGACCUGUAUGAACGGCUAAACGAGGUCUUAACUGUCUCCUGUAGACAAUCAGUGAAACUGAUCUCUCUGUACAAAAGCAGAGAUAUACACAUAAGACGAGAAGACCCUGUGGAACUUCAAAAUCAAUAGCCAACCCCACCUAACUCACAAGCCCACAC
rnacentral:rRNA from 1 species